ACUCAUUAGGCACCUGGUCCUUGUAGGGAGCUGAGGGAUGUCAGUUGAGAGAAGAAGAUCUAAGAGGGGUUCCUGUUAUUGGGAAGGACCUGGAGAAAGUAGCACUUUCCUGCAGAGAGAAAUACAAAGGGGGCAGGUCUCAGCCAUGGAAGACCUGGUAAGUGGCAGAUGGCCACCAGGAGGUACUGGAGCUGAGGAUAAGAGCAAUGUUAUGCCCUGAUACAUGGGGCUGUUUCAAAGGUUACUUUUGCACAUACUGCUAGCUCAGCAUCAGUGACUACUACUGAGAAGAUGGAACCAAGACUUGCCUACUCCCUGUGCCCCACCCGCUUACUCAGGCAAAUAGUUGUGGAUUUCUGUAGCAGAUCCUAGGCUGCAAACUGACUGACUCCUGGUCUGCUAUUUAACCCAAUUAAUUGAACAAAAUGGAUCCCUAUGAACACAAAAGUCAAGUGUCCAAAAGCAGGCACAACCAAAGGAUGACAAUGAAAAAACACUGGACUCACCUUGAAAACUAAGGGCUUGUUCCUAUGGAAAGCUGAAUCAACAGAGAGACUCCAAUGAGAGUUAAAUUAGGCCUCGAGAAUUUUGUUGAGAUUUCAGAGAAGCCUCCAUUGCAACAGAAGUCAAUAGGA